AACAAGGUGGCCAGAUUGCCGGCGGCGCUGGUAUGCUCGCGUUUGCCUGGCUGGGAACUCGCCGGAGGGGGUGGUCCUUGCCAGCAAUCCGGAUCGAAAACACACACUAUCACAAAAAUCAUACCAGCAAAACGUUACUGCUUUCCCGCUCUAUUCCCUGGCGGCCAACUAAUUUUGCAGAAGAAUCUCCCGGGUGAGGAUAGGGUAGAUGGAUAUUUCCUGUCAGUGACGUGUCUAAAUGUCUAAGUAGUUCGAGGAGAAUUACCUAUAUAAGAUUUAGGAAAAUCUUGGGUUAAUUAACCUCGCGACUCACUGUUCCCUAGGCCAGAGCUCUAACCUAACUCGCGCACGCGUGGUUAAGGUUCACACGCGGGAUGGACUUUGCGAUACUUAAGACUUCCUAUUUUUUUAUAUAAAUAUCUCACUAAUCACCUUUUUUUUAUUUUAUAAAUAUUUCUUUUUUUUUUUUUUUAUUUUC